ACCAGGGUGGCGUAGUGGUCAGCACUUCUGCCUAGUGAGCAGGAGACUCGGGUUCGAAUUCCGACCUUGGCA